rnacentral:lncRNA from 1 species
GCCAUUGUGACCCGACUUCUAGUGGUUGCACAUGGUUGAGUGAUGACAUUAAAGCAUGCCAGGAUCAAGGCAUCAAGGUGUUGCUUUCCAUCGGAGGUGCCUCGGGAAGCUAUACUUUGAUCUCUGCAGAGGAUGCCAGGUGAUUAUUCUUCAAAAAUAUAUAGACUAUGUUUGGUUCCUAAGAAAAAAAUACUGAAGAAAAGAUCAGUGCUGAUUCUAUUGUUGUGAUGCAGGGAAGUUGCAAAUUACCUAUGGAACAAUUUUUUCGGGGGCCAAUCAAGCUCACGACCGUUAGGAGAUGCUGUUCUAGAUGGGAUUGAUUUUGACAUUGAGGGAGGCACAACCCAGCACUGGGAUGAACUAGCCAAGGCCUUGUCGGAGUUCAGCGGGCAGAGGAAGGUGUACCUAUCAGCAGCUCCACAGUGCCCAUUUCCGGAUGCAUGGUUGGGCACUGCCAUUGCCACAGGUCUAUUCGACUAUGUUUGGGUCCAAUUCUACAACAAUCCCCCCUGCCAAUACUCCGGCAACGCUGACAACCUUAUCAACUCCUGGAACCAAUGGACCACGAUUGAAGCUGGUCAAGUAUUUUUGGGGUUGCCUGCAGCCUCAGCAGCAGCCGGAUCUGGCUACAUCGAACCGGACGUGCUCGUCUCCCAGGUCCUGCCGUCCAUCAAGACUUCCCCCAAGUAUGGAGGUGUGAUGCUUUGGUCUAGAUAUUAUGAUAAUGGCUAUAGUGCAGCCAUUCUGUCCAGUGUUUGAAGUCUUGUCUUCCUAUAUAUGUCUACUUCUAAUAUGGUCACAUAAAUGAGCUUUGAUACUUUCUGAAACUUGAAUGAAAUAUAAAUUUUCUGCUGUGAUGAUUAAUACAAAUAUAUAUAUAGAUGGCACAAUAUCUUUCAAAGGCUCUCUCUAAAAGCCUCUGCUUACCAAGCAGCCCAUUUGCCUCAACCAUGUACUCCCAACUCUACUUUGCAAUUCCCUUGCUGAUCUUGCAGUUUAUCAAUCUCAUCACAUUUAAAUUUUUUUAAAUGAAAAUAUUAUCGUAGAACCCUAUUGAAAUAUAUGGUCAAUACAAAAAUCAUAGGCAUAGGAGAAAGGCCACAUUAAUGAGUCACGGCUCAUGAAUGCCAAUCCAGUUAGCUUUCCAUAGCUUUCCAUUUCGGGUAGUUGGAUGUCCAGGGUGCCAAUCAAGUUAGGCAGAUGUUUCCAUUUCCAGAUCAUUUUUAACAGAAGCAAAGUUUGGCAUAAGAAAAUAGUGAAAUAUGGGCUAUGAAAUGGGCAUAUUCCUACAUCCAACAGAUUCAUUAAACCACCAACCAAACAAUAAUCAAUGGCUCUCCAUAGCUUUCCAUUUCGGGUAAUUGGAUUUCUAGGGUGCCAAUCCAGUUAGGCAGAUGUUUCCAUUUCCAUAUUAUUUUUAACAGAAGCAAAGUUUGGCAUAAGAAAAUAGCUGGAUUAUUAAGGAUAUGUUUGGCAACUGCUUUUGAAAAACAGAUUUUUUGGAAACCCAAAAUGUUUUUAAUAGUUUUAAAAAUAAUUUUUAUAUUUAGUAUUUUAUUUUUAAUCAUUUUAUAUAUUUGUAUAAUUAUUUUUUAAAAUAACUCUUAUAAAACAAAUGAAAACAGUAAAAAACAACUAAAAAAUAUUCUUCAAAAAUACAAUUUUUUUGUUCUUAAGAACAUAAAUAGAAAAUAAUUUUUUAUUGUCAAACAUGUUUUCUAGCCUUUUUUUGUUUUGGAGAACGAAAAAUUGUUCUAAAAAACAAUUGUUGAAUAGACCUUAAGGCUUUGUUUAAGAUGUGUUUUCAAAAAUAGUUUUUGAAAAUUGUUCUCUAAUAUUUUUUAACAUGUUUUUUUUAACCUUUUUUAAUAUAUUUUAAAAAUAAUUUUUAAAUGUGAUGCUUUAUUUUUUUUUAUCAUUCUCUAUAUUUAUAUUAUUAUUUUUUUAAACAGUCUUCAUAAAAUAGAUGAAAAUAAAUGAAAUAAAUAAAAGAUGCAUGUUUUCCAAAAUUUCUUUUUUUUUUUUUCAAUUUUAAGAAAGAAAACUAUUUUCUAUUUUCUAUUUUCUAAUUACUAAAUAUGUUUUUUAUUUUUAUUUUUUAUCUUAGAGAACAAAAAAUUGUUUUUAAAAACAAAUACCAAACCCGAGUUAAUAAUUUUGAAGAAUUAUCCCAAAAAACAAAGAACAAGACAAACUUAAACUUGUAUGACAUAUCCAUCUUCAUGUGAAAGAAAAAUAAAACUAAAAACUAUUCAAAAACGUUAAAUGAAUACUAGAAACAUGUUUUCAAAUCCUUCUCAAUAAGAAUAACUUUUUAAAUUAGAACAAUUUUCAAAUCCUUGUCCAUAUCACAUAGAUGAAUAAAAAUUCUAAGAUGCUUCGAAAGAUGUUUCAUACAAAUAUUCUAAAAUAUCAUAUUGUAUUAUUAGUCAUUAUGAUAUACUCUAUCUACCUAUAAACUCCUUUAAAAACUUAAAUUAAAAUAAUCAUUAUUUUAAAAACGAUCAAUUGAGCUUAACAAAACCUAACCUCUAAUCCAAGGUACUCAACUCAAUUCCAACUCAACUUUAUUCCUCUAAACUCGAGUUGAGUUCAGAUUAUUCAUGUUAGACUCAGAUUUAUAGAGUUAAACUUAAGUCAAUUGGAUUAAGUUCAAGUUGAUUAAAUUACAUAAUUUAAAAUAUAUCUAUCCAACCCUCCAUCUAAUCUAUUGAAAUAUGUGAUAAAAUUUAAAUACUUAAUGGAAAUCCAAAUAAAUAUGACUAAAAUAUAAUGAUACAAAUGAAUGAAACUUAAGUAAAAAAUAAUUAGAUCGAAAUAUUUAUACGGAUAUUUACAAUUUGAUAAUGACUUUCUAUAAGAAAAGCCUCAUUGAUGAGUCAUGGUUCAUGAAUGCCAAUCCAUUUAGACAGAACUACUUUUGUCUAUUUCCAAACCAUUUUUAAUAAAGUCAAUAUUGAUAUAGUAAAUAGUUUGCCACGUUUUAUUUGAUUCUAUUUAAUAAUUGUAUUAUCAAUAGUGUAAUUGGAUGUACGAUGUGUCAACCCAAUUAGGCAGAUGUCCAUUUCCAAAUUUAUUUUCAACAUAAGCCACAUGCCCCGUUUGACGUAGGAAAAUGCCUUGUUGACACGUUUUUUUUUUUAAAAUUAUAUUACAUCAAUGCAGUAAGUUUGUAUUAUUGCUUUCAAGUGAAGGUGAAAUAAUUUUACAUUACAGAAAUUAUAGUGAUUUUAGAAAGUGUUUUUAAUAUUUUAAUACUUAAAAGAUAAAAAAUUUAAAAUGUUAAAAAUACUAAAAUUGCUUUCAAAAAUCACUAUCAAAUACAUUCUAAAAUUUCUUUGACGAACGAUUUUGAGGGAAUAAAAUACUCUUUUAACAUAGAAAGUUGUUUAUUAUAAAAAUUAAAGUAUUUAAUAAAAAAUUUAAAAUAAUUUUAAAACAUUUAUUUAUUUUUUGUAUAAAAUAUAAUGACUCUUAUGAGUUUUCAUUGAAAAAGUAAUAAUUUUAAAAACUAUUUAAUAUUAAAAAAAUAUCUUUUUUAUUCCUUUCACUUUGAUUAUAGUCCAAUAAAAAAUAAUGAAAGUAUUUUCUUUAUUUUAAAGUCAACAAAUGAUUUAGAAUGGUCUAUUCUCAAAUAACUAAAUAAAAAACACAUGUAGUUUUUUUUUGUGAUUUCUCAAAUUUGUCGGAAGAUUUUGUGAAACAUUUUCUUCUGUGUGGAGUCAUUUUGUCAAUCUCCAUCAUUGAAAGAAUUUACCAUUAUUUAUAGGCAAAAUUAGCCAAUUAAAUUUGGAAUAUUCAAGAUUUAAUUGCUUAAUUAGAGAAUUUCGUUCUUUAAUUUUAGCAACUUGUUUUCUUUCUUUAGGAAAUUUCUAAAGAAAAUAUUUAUUUUUAAUUCUCUUCUUACUUCAAUUAAAAAAUUAGUCUCCUUUGUUUAGGAAAAUAUUUAUUUCUAAUUCUCCUUGACUUUGAUUUUAUUUUGUCCGACUUAAUUUUGUAGUCAUCCAAAUUUAAUUUGUUUGGUAAAAUAACUUAAUGAUAUGAAUUAAAGUUAACAACAACUUUAAGUAAUAAGUAAAAACAAUUAACUUAUUUUAAGUUCAUAUUUUCAUUUUUACCUUUUUACUCAUAUUUGUCCUAUUACUCCUAUGAUCUUUUUUUACUGUUCCACGACGUCCAUUAUUACUUGAUAUAUUUUGUCCUAAUUAUAAUUUAUGAGAAUAAAUAUAUCAAUUUGAUGAUUUAGAAUAAAUUUUAAGUUAAUUUUAUCAAACAAUCUUAAUACUUAAAGUAAGAAUUAAAUAAUAAAUUUUAAGUUAACAAUUUAAAUAUAAUUUAACUUAAAAUCAACUUAAGUUAUUAAGUAAUGAAUAUUAAGUUUUACCAAACAACUUUGUUGUUUGUUUGAAAAUAGAUUAUGUUUUUUAUUUUUAAAAAUGAAAAAUAGUGGUAAGUUGUAUAUAUCAUGUAUAUAAUAACUUUUAUUUAUAGAAUUAAAAAAAAUUUAUAUUUUUAAAAUUUGUAAAAAUAAAAAUAUUUUAGUAUUUCAAUUUUUUUUAGAACAUUUUUCAAAAGCCAUUAUGUUUUUUUUUCUUCUUUUUAAGAUAAGUAUAAAGGACUUUUUGUAUUUAAAAUAAGAAAUCAAAAUGCCAACAUGGAAAAAGAGAAAAGAUACAUGCAUGAACGUUUUAAUUGAGGGAGGCAUCCGACCCUCUUCAAAUAGUUUUUAGAAGAGAUUAUGACUUAAUAUGCUAAUUGAGUUCAAAUUCUAUAAGUUUAAAUUUUUAAGAAAAUUGAUAAGUUUUUUUAUUUAUUUAUUUUUUUAUUAUGAAAGUAUUAAUAAUUCAAAUUUUAUAUAGUCUAUUUUUUUGUAAUUUUAAAAAGCACUUUUAAUAAAAAAAAAUUUAAGAAAAAUAAGAUAUUUUGAAAAAUUUAGGAAAAGCUUUUAUAAAGUUUAAAAAUCACUUCUAAAACUUAUUAGAGAAGCAUUUGAAAGAAGAUUCUAACCAAAACACUACCCUUCAAACCAUCCUUAUCUCCUGCACUCCACUUUUAAGAUAAGAAAUCAAAAUGUGGACAUGGAAAAGGUGAAAAGAUGCAUGCAUGAUCCAUGAACGUGUUAAAUGAGGCAUCCCGGCCCUCUGCAAAAAUGUGAAAUAUGGGCUAUAAAUAGGGCAUAUUCCUACAUCCAACAGAUUCAUUAAACCACCAACCAAACAAUAAUCAAUGGCUCUCCAUAGCUUUGCAGCAGUAGUAGUAGUAACGCUAGUCUCUUGCCUGCUGGCUCCUCCUGCAGUCGAGGCCUCAUCAGUCAAUAUCUCUACUUACUGGGGCACUGAUGCAAGAGAAGGUAGCGUGGAAGAUGACUGUAACGCCUCCUUGUAUAGUAUCUUCAACAUCGGUUUCGUAGACAGAUUUGGAUAUGACUGGCCUCCAAGACUCAACAUCCACCACUGUAACGCAUCAGUACAGGGGUGCAAGUACCUGGGCACUGAAAUAAAAGUUUGCCAAGAAAGGGGGGUUAAAGUGCUCAUCUCUAUUGGAGGCCCGGGUGGAGACUACAACCUCGCCUCUUCAGAUGAUGCUACGUAAGUUAGUUGCUAAAACUGAUGAUGAUGAUGAUUUAACAGAAAAUAAAAUCGUUUUAAAAAACAGUUGCCAAACAGGGCUAAGCUAAUUAGGUGCCUUAUUGAUUGAUUUUCACUUCAUUUUAAUUUGUAGGGAGCUCGCAAACUACUUGUGGAACGCCUAUCUUGGUGGCAACCAAUCGACUGUUGAUCGUCCGUUUGAGGAUGCAAUUCUGGAUGGAGUUGACUUCUUCAUUCAGGCAGGCAGUACCCUGUAUUGGGAUGUGCUUGCUGAGGCCCUUAGAAACCUCAGCAAUAAUGGAACCCAGAUGGAAUUAAGUGCCACUCCCAAAUGCAAAUACCCAGACGAAUACCUCGGCGCUGCAAUUCAAACCGGGCUCUUUGAUUAUGCUCAGGUGCGAUUCUAUGAUGAAGAUGGCUGCCAGUAUAAUGGCAGCUUCGACGGCAUGAAGAGUGCGUGGGAUGAAUGGACAGCUGAGGCUAAUGUGGAUAAAAUAUUUGCGGGAGUGACUGCAUCUGAAUCUGAUCAAGGUUACGUUGAUGCAGAUGAUCUGGCCUCUGAGUUCCUACCAGAUGCUGAGCAGUCCCCAAAGUUUGGAGGUCUGAUGGUGUGGUAUCUCUACACUGACCAUCAGUCCGGUUACAGCGCAAGGAUCAAAGCUUUGAAUCCUACAAUUCAAACUGCUCCUUCAGGAGUUGAAGUUGAAUAAGCAGAUCUGUAUGAAUGGCGGCUGAUCAUCCCAUGAUCAGUAAGCUUAAGUACGUACUUUGAAAUAGUAUUGUAACGCCUGCUGUUUGCUUUUCAUUCAAUAAAUUUGGCCUCUCAUGCAUAUUUCCUCACAGAGACACAUGUGAUCUGGGGGGUAAAUAUAUAGGUAUGAAGCCAAAACAAGCUUGUACCUAGUCUGAUGUAUCCCUGUUAAUGAAGUUGUGUGGUUUGUGUGAUAAAAUUACCUUUAGCCUGCCUGUUGGUAUCUUCCAUUUACAAAUGCAAAUGACACUUGAUCUACAUUAUUACUUAUAUAAUUUAUUUAUUUACUUACUCUUCUAUUUUCAUAUUUCUUUAAUAUAUAUUAUUUCUUUUUUAUAAAUAAAAAAAUUACUUAGUAUACAUGCUUCCGGUAUUUCUUUAUUCUUUUAUUAUAUUGUUCUUUUUUACCAAAAAAAAAAAUUAUUUAUUUACUUGAUCUUCUAAUUUCAAAACCUUUUCGUCCUUUUUUUUUUUUAAUAUAUAUUCUUUUUUAUAAAGAAACUUGAAUUAUUUAUUCACUAAAUUAUUCAUCUAUUAAAUUAUUAUUAUUAUUAUAUUUCUUCAAUUAUAAAAGGCAUAAAUCCUAACUCUCAUAGUUAAUAGUGGUUACUCAGGGCUUUAUUUCUAGGGUUAUUUUUUUGGAAGAAACAAAUGGAGGCGUUAGGGUUUGUUUUUGCUACAUACAAUAUUUUUCUAUUUAUACUAAACCUUUAUUUACGUAAUUUUCUAUAUUUAUUUAUUAUUUUAUUUAUUUCUCUAUUAUUGCUAGAUGUUAUAUUUAUAAAAAUUUAAAUUAUUUAAUUACUCAAUAUUUUUUAUAUUUAUUUUUUGAUAUAUAUUAUUCUUGUUUUAGAAAAAAAAAAUUAACUAACUUUUUAUUUACUUAAUUUCAAGUUUUGAUAUUUCUUAAAAUCUUUUUUAUUUCAUAUUUUAAUAAAUGAUUAUUUUUUAUAACAUAAAAUAAAAUAAUUCCAAAUUGAUUAAGUCAUUCAAAUAAAAUAAAAAUAAAAAAAGGUAAAUAUUGUUAAGUAACAACAUAUCAUAAAAAUUUAAAAUAUUUUACUUCUUGGAAAUGUUAAAAGUAAAUUAUUGAUUUUUUUUCUUUAUUUUUUAAUACAUAAUACAAAUAAAAUAUUUAAAAAAAUGAAGAAUUUAACACUUAACACUAUUAAUAUUAUUCAAUUUUAAAUUCUAUUUAAAAUUAAGAAAAAAAAAAACAUCGCCUUACUAUAGAAUUAAAUUAGAUAAUCUAAUAUAAAUUAUUUAUAUUUAAAAAAAAUUAUUUUAUAUUUAAUAAUACCAAAACAACUCUCACUUGUGCUUUUACAUCUCUUCCUCAACUUCAAAGAUAAUAAUGAAACAUAUUUUUCUUUAAGUACUCAACCCAAUUUAUCCUAAUAGAACAAAACAGAUUUAGAAAAAUCCUAAACCGGUUAGAAACGGGUUUAAGAAGAUAUUGGUUAUAGUAUUACCUCAUCCCAGCUCUAUGUCUUUAUCAUUUAUAUGUAUAAUUAAAUAAAAAUAAUAGUUCAUUUUUAUUUUUUAUUUAAAAAAAAUUAAAUAUGGGAUGACAUACCCAAGUUGCCACCUCAAUUGGGCGAAGCUAACCAUCAUCCUCAACCCACGCACAAUAUCACAAUUAAUUAUAUAUGCAUGCCACCAUAAUGAUGAUUGAAAGGUAGGAUCACACCCCCCCUUUUUUUUUUUUUAAUUUUAUUAAAUUAUGAUUUUAAAAAAAAUGUAUAGAUGUCUCAAUGUUUUAGAGGUGAAAUAUUUAGAAAAGUUUUUUAAAUAUUAAAAAAUGUAUUUCAAAAUCAAAUAUCAAGAUAUAAAUUUCAAAGUAGGUUGUAUUGAAUUUAAAAAAUAAUAAUGUCAACUCAAUUUUAAUAGAAAUCUUUUUAAAAUACAAUCCCAAAUAGUAAUUAUUUUUAUUUCUAUUUUUAUUUUCUGUUAAAUAGAUUUAGCAAAUGAUAUGUGUUUAUAUUUGAAUUUGACAUAUGAAUUCUUUAUAAAAAUUGAACCACAUAAUCACCAAAUCUUAACUUGAACUUUCCUUAAAGUUCAAACCUCCUUAUUAUUUUUUUUGUGAAAAAUACGUUUUAUAUCAAAUAAAUUUAUUAAAAAUAGAAUUCUUUUUUUCAUUUGAAUUUUGAGAAUCUCCAAUGUCUAUAAGUUUGAAAUUCAAAAAAUAAUUAUUUAUGCUUUUGAAAAAGAGUUAUUUGUAAAGAUUUAAUUGGCAAAGUUUCCAAAUUAUUCUAUAGAACUUUACAUUGAAGAGGUAUAUCUUGUGUUUUUGAAUUUAUUAAUUAUUUUUUAAAAUAAAAUAAUAUAUAAAAAUGGAAAUAUACGAACUCAUUCUCAUUGAAGAUAUUAUAUAUACUAUUAAGAAAGAUUCUAUGUUCUUCUCUAUGAAAGAACCCAUAAACACACCAUAACAUAAUGUUUGCAAAAAUUACAAAGGAGGAGGAGGAGAAAGAGAAAUUACAAAGGAGGAGGAGGAGAAAGAGAUAUAAACAAAUAAAAAAGAAUAAUAGCUUCACGCAAAUUUUGGAGAAAUCCAAAGUAGAGGUUGUGGGGAAUGUGGGAAAAGCAGUGUAACAGUCCUAUCACUUAGACUGAAAACAUACAUACUUCCAUCAGCAUUUGAAAAAAAACUACAACGUUGGCAGAAGUAUAUAGAAUUUGGCCGGCAUCCCGCAAAAUCAGAAGCUAUGACAGAAAUUGAAUGAUUGUCUCCCAAAAACAAGGCAACAUCGCCCAAACUCAUAACCUCUUCCCAUCUUGGAUUCUUUGAAAAUCAUUGUAACUUAUAAAUCACAAAUCCGGCCCCCUUCAUGCUUUGUAACCUGCAAGAGAUCUCCUUCAGGAGAUUCCACUGGAUUCUUUGAAAACCAUUGUAACUUAUAAAUCACAAAUCCCCUUUCAUGCUUUAUAACCCGCAAGAGAUCUCCUUCAGGAGAUUCCACCAAAUAUGAGUCAAGAGCACAAUGAAUAUCGGGUGAAGUAAUCCUUCUCACUUUAAAAUCAUUACUCACAUCACAAGAGAAGAGCACACCCCGUCCGUCUAAUACAUAGAAUAACCCAUUGCUGUAAACAAUGUCUUUCACAUCCCGCAACCCUUCAAUAUAAGUCCAGUCUUCUUCUCCUGAUUUAAUGAAUGCUAAUCUUACUACCAAACUACCACACGUCAUAUGAGUACAAACUCGUCCCCAUUCACAUCAGGAUCAAUAGACAAUACACCCCUCCUCGGGUUAUAAGGGAAGAUAGUUCUGUACACACUGCCUGAAAGUUCACGGAAUGAUGAUUUUUCGAGGGGAGGAAGAUGAAUGAGUUUUCCAGAGAAUGGGUUGUGGAGGGUUACCUUAUAAGAAUCAUUAUUUACCAGAAUCAACCAGCCAUGAGAAGACCCUCCACACCUCCAUCGCCCCUGCCUCAACUGAACCUCCCAAAGGCUUUUUCCGUUCAUGACGUCAUAUAAACAGCACCUUUCUCUGGAAUUAUCUGCGGUGGGAGCCAUUAACAAUGGGACUUGUUGGUGCAGACGACAAUGGCGUUUAUGGUUAGAGCGUAAAUGUUGAAGUUUUUCGCGAACUGCAUACUGCCAUUGAAUGCAAACCUCACCGAAUGUGAAGUAGUCCUCCAUGGGCACUAAGUAAUCUAAGAUCGAACCGAGAAGAUUUAUACAGAGUGAUGCCCAAUCUGAACUUGAGGGCAAAGCCAUUCUUCUGAUUGUGAUCGAGAAGAGGAAGAAGAUGAUGAAAAAUUAGGGUUUAACAGAUUAGGGUUUAACGUAUAUAAAAAAAAAUAAAGGGUGGGUGCAUGUAUAUAUAUAGGACUGAGUACAAAUUUGGAAACCUAAUUUCAAUCCAAAUAUAACUCUAUAGAUUUAUAGAAUUUAAUAAUAAAAUUUAAUCGCAUUAUAAAAUAUUUUAGUUAAUUUAAUUUAUAUCUAUAUCUAUAAAUUAAGUAGACUUAUUUUUUUUUAAAUAAUUUAAAUAUUAAAAUUUUCUUUUUAUUUUCUUAAAUCGCAUUAUAAAAUUUUCUUAAAUAGCUCAUCAUGCAUUAUAAAAUAAUCUUUUUAUUUUUUUUCCAUAUUUUUAUUCUUUUGUUUCCAUAUAUUGUUCAUGUCUUAUUCAUUACUUGAACUUUUAAACCUUCUAUUUUCAUAUUUCUUUAAUAUAUACUAUUUCUUUUUAUAAAAAAAAAAAAAAUUUACUUAGUAAACAUGCUUUCGGUAUUUCUUUAUUCUUUCAUGUAUAUUAUAUAUAUAUAUAUAUAUAUAUAUAUAUAUAUAUAUAUUUUAACUUGAUUUUCUAUUUUCAAAAUCUAUCGUCCAUAUUUUUUAAAUAUAUGUUAUUUUUUAUAAAAAAAAACUUGAAUUAUUUAUUGACUAAAUUAUUCAUCUAUUAAAUAAUUUUAUUAUUAUUAUUAUUAUUAUUAUUAUUAUUAUUAUUAUUAUUAUUAUUCUAAUUAAAUUAAAAAAAGGCAUAAAUUCUAUAUCUCAUAGUUAAUCACGGUAGAAUAUUUUUAUUUUCUUUUUGUUCAAAUUUGAAAUCUAUUAAUCAGUAUAAUUAAUUGAUUCCUACCUAGGGCAUUAUUUCUAGAGUUAUUUCUUCCAAGAAACAAAUGGAAGGGUUAGGGCUUGUUUUUGCUACAUUCUUAUUUUUCUAUUUGCACUAAACUUUUAUUUGCUUAAUUUUCUAUAUUUAUUUAUUAUUGUAUUUAUUCCUUUAUUAUUGCUAGAUAUUAUAUUUAUAAAAAUUUAAAUUAUUUAUUUACUCAAUAAGUUUUAUAAACAGAAAUAUUAAUGUGAACAUGGCAAAAGAGAAAAGAUUCAUGCAGAAUCGUAUUAAAGGAGACGUUCCCUCUCCAAAGUAUCGUACGAUCCUCAAUAAUAAUAAAAGUGUUGGUGCAUAUAACACGUACCAAUUAUUAUCAAAAGAUGCAUGCAUGAACGUGUUAAAUGAGGCAUCCCUUAUGCAAAUCAAGUGGUUUCUUGACAUUAAAUUCAUACCCGAAAGUCUAUAACAAGUUUCUUGCAAUCUUCUUCCACAAACGUGUAGAUUUGACAAACAUUUUGAUACAUAUAGUCCAACAUAUGUACCUAUAAAUUUCCAUACCUUCCUCUCAAUUUUUCAUCCAAGCAACAAAGCUCAAUGGCACACCGCUCUCUCCUUUCAUUGGCCCUCCUCAGCUUUUUCUUUCUUGCCUUGAUCUCCAACACUAAUGCAGGUACAAUAACAGUCUACUGGGGCCAAAAUGGGAACGAGGGCAGCUUGGCUGAUACCUGCUCCUCGGGCUAUUAUGGAAUUGUCAAUAUUGCUUUCUUGGUUGUUUUUGGCAAUAACCAGACUCCGCAGAUGAAUCUAGCUGGCCAUUGAGACCCGAACUCUGGUGGUUGAUCAUGGUUGAGUACUGGCAUUAAAGCAUGCCAGGAUCAAGGCAUCAAGGUGUUGCGAGGUGCCUCGGGAAGCUAUACCUUGACCUCUGUAGAGGAUGCCAGGUGAUUAUUCUUCUCAAAUACGUAGACUAUGUUUGGUUCCUAAGAAAAAAAUACUAAAUAAAAUGAUAUUCGAUUUCCACCCAUUUUUCUUUCUUUCUAUUUUUUCUCUUUAUUUUCUCUCCCUCUCAUUUUCCCUCAAACUUUCGGGGACCCAAUCAUAGCCAUAGCCAUAGCGUCUAAUCCUUGUGGGAUCAAUGCUGAUUUUGUUGUUGUGAUGCAGGCAAGUUGCAAAUUACCUAUGGAACAAUUUUCUUGGGGGCCAAUCAAGCUCACGACCAUUAGGAGAUGCUGUUUUAGAUGGGAUUGAUUUUGACAUUCAGGGAGGCACAACCCAGCACUGGGAUGAACUAGCCAAGACCUUGUCGGAGUUCAGCGGGCAGAGGAAGGUGUACCUAUCAGCAGCUCCACAGUGCCCAUUUCCGGAUGCAUGGAUGGGCACUGCCAUUGCCACAGGCCUAUUCGACUAUGUUUGGGUCCAAUUCUACAACAAUCCCCCCUGUCAAUACUCCGGCAACGCCGACAACUUAAUCAACUCCUGGAACCAAUGGACCACGAUUGAAGCUGGUCAAGUAUUUUUGGGAUUGCCGGCAGCCCCAGCAGCAGCUGGGUCUGGCUACAUCGAACAGGACGUGCUCGUCUCCCAGGUCCUGCCGUCCAUCAAGACUUCCCCCAAGUAUGGAGGUGUCAUGCUUUGGUCUAGAUAUUAU